rnacentral:rRNA from 1 species
AAUGAACGCUGGCGGCGCGCCUAAUACAUGCAAGUCGAGCGAGAAGACGUAGCAAUACGUUUGUAAAGCGGCGAACGGGUGAGGAAUACAUGGGUAACCUACCCUAGAGUGGGGAAUAACUAGCCGAAAGGUUAGCUAAUACCGCGUACGCUCCUUGGACUUCGGUUCAGGGAGGAAAGCGAUGCCGAGGGUAUCGCGCUCUUGGAUGGGCUCAUGUCCUAUCAGCUUGUUGGNGAGGUAACGGCUCACCAAGGCUUCGACGGGUAGCUGGUCUGAGAGGACGAUCAGCCACACUGGCACUGCGACACGGGCCAGACUCCUACGGGAGGCAGCAGUAAGGAAUAUUGCGCAAUGGGCGAGAGCCUGACGCAGCGACGCCGCGGUGGGGGA